rnacentral:lncRNA from 13 species
UGCAUCUGGUAGUGAGUGCAUGCCUGUAAUCCCAGCUACUCAGGAGGCUGAGGCAGGAGAAUUGCUUCAACCUGGAAGGCGGAGGUUGCAGUGAGCCGAGAUCGUGCCAUCACACUCCAACCUGGGUAAAAAGAGCGGAGCUGCAUCUAAAAAAAAAAACAAAAAACAAAAAAAAAACCCGAAGCAACACAGAUGUAUUCCCUUACAGUUCUGAAGGCCAGAAUUCUAAAGUCAGUCCCACUGACUCAAGGUGGGAGCAGGGCAGGCACCUUCCCAGGCUCUGUAGGAGAAUGAGUUUCCUGGCCCCAGAGGCUUCCUGCAGUCCUCAGCUUGUGCUGCCCUUCUUGAACGACUCGAGGUUCCUGCUUCCAACACUACACUUCCCGUUGCUCUCCAUCACCUGCUCUGUUCUGAUAAGGAUCUGGGCUGGCUGCAGUCUUCGUUCCCUGCAACAUUUGUCUCCUGGGUUCAAGUGAUUCUUCUACCUCAACCUCCUGAACAGCUGGUACUACAGUUUUCAGAGAAAUGCAGUGAUGGUAUCACCGAUCUACAUAAACACAUUGAAGAACUAUCCAAAAGAAAAUAUGGUAUGUUGAAGAACUGUCUGAAAG